GAUGAACGCUGGCGGCGUGCCUAAUACAUGCAAGUCGAGCGAACAGACGAGGAGCUUGCUCCUCUGACGUUAGCGGCGGACGGGUGAGUAACACGUGGAUAACCUACCUAUAAGACUGGGAUAACUUCGGGAAACCGGAGCUAAUACCGGAUAAUAUAUUGAACCGCAUGGUUCAAUAGUGAAAGACGGUUUUGCUGUCACUUAUAGAUGGAUACGCGCCGCAUUAGCUAGUUGGUAAGGUAACGGCUUACCAAGGCAACGAUGCGUAGCCGACCUGAGAGGGUGAUCGGCCACACUGGAACUGAGACACGGUCCAGACUCCUACGGGAGGCAGCAGUAGGGAAUCUUCCGCAAUGGGCGAAAGCUUGACGGAGCAACGCCGCGUGAGUGAUGAAGGUCUUCGGAUCGUAAAACUCUGUUAUUAGGGAAGAACAAAUGUGUAAGUAACUAUGCACGUCUUGACGGUACCUAAUCAGAAAGCCACGGCUAACUACGUG
rnacentral:rRNA from 1 species